UUUUUUUUUGCUGUUUGUGAAACGAUUGUUCUGGAUAGUGAUAUUGAUGGUUUAAGGAAUUUGGAAAACUCUUUUGAAUUCUUAAGUCACCAAUUCUGAAAACUUGGGAAUGUUAGUCUUAACUUUUCUCAAGCUGUGCCGGAUGGGAUGCUGAUAUUUUUCUCUUCUUAUUACCUUGUGGAAAGUUGCACUGCAUUCCCUAGCUAGUUCUCGGAGUUGGUAGCAAUGCAGGACUUUUCUCUGCCGUUUUGUCGUGGAAAGGUCAGUGAAAGACUGUAUUUAUUCUGGACAUUGCUUUUGUUUGAUUUAGUGUCUGAAAUUCUCUAAAUAGACAAGAAACAGUGCUCGAUCUCGGGUAAAUAUAUAUAUGCUCGUUUUGUUCUGAUUAUUUUGAAUGUUAGCUUAUUGUUGACAGAUUUGGCGAUCUUAGCAACAUAAGAUAUCACUCUCUAGAUACGACCUUAUGUCAGGGUAUAUUUUCUGGUAGCUGAGGGUUAAGAUAGUUUCUUAAAUUUGAUGCAGAAACUUGCCUGCACAAAGAACUUUUCUUAGAUAAAUUACUAAGUAAGAUCUCUCUGUGUCUUGUCAAAAAUAUUGUAUAUAUAUGAGCAUUUGGCAUUUCAGCA
rnacentral:sRNA from 1 species